CUUUCCCUUCGGACUUUCUCUUCGAUUCAUUCGCCGCCUGCAUCGCCGUCCAAUUCGCUGCUUUCAACCUCCGUCACUUCCUCGACCGGGUUAGCGGCCCUCGCCUCAAUGUCGGAAUCUGGGGCUCCGGGAACGCCGGAGAGCGGCCACUCCGGGGACAGAGGGGGAGGAAGUGCGCGGGAGCAGGAUCGGUUCCUUCCCAUCGCCAACAUCGGCCGCAUCAUGAGGAAGGCCGUUCCCGAGAACGGAAAAAUCGCCAAGGACUCCAAGGAGUCCGUCCAGGAGUGCGUCUCCGAGUUCAUCAGCUUCGUCACCAGCGAGGCGAGCGAUAAGUGCCAGCGGGAGAAGAGGAAGACGAUCAAUGGUGAUGAUCUUCUCUGGGCGAUGGGGACACUCGGCUUCGAAGAGUACGUGGAACCUCUGAAGCUCUACUUGCAGCUCUACAGAGAGAUGGAGGGCAACGUCAAGGGUUCCCGUUCUAUUGAUCAAUCAGGAAAGUGAGAUGGGGCAAUCAAUGGGGAGCCAAGGGAUGUGGCCGGUAAUUAUUUGCCUGGCUCAAAUUUGGUGAUACUGAAAAAAAAGUAGAAGUGUCUCAUCUCUGCAGCAAAACUAAACGUAGAAUUAUCUCCUGGUUUCAUUUGGUUGCUUAUUCAUUGAAGCAAAUAGAGAUCCUGUUUAGCAUUACUUAACAAUCACCGUUCCUAAUUUAAAUCGAUCGUCGUGUUUUGGUCCUUAUCGAGAAAGCUGCUGCCCGUGCAAAACUUUAUAGCUCGAGUUUCUUCGAGAACCUCGGUGCAUUAUACAAAUUGGGAGAUUCUCUUAAUAGAGAUUUGCAUGUCCUAAUCAUAUGAAGGAAAAUGGGAAACUCGAGGUCCGUCGUUACUCAUUAGUUCAUGUUCGAGCAUUGACUCAAUGGAUGAACAUAUAUAGCUGGUCUGGUUAUACGAGUUUUAGUCAAUGUGGCAGUAGUAGAAUGGGACUAGUGCUUCUGCUUUAUCCCUGGCUAUACCGCCCCACAGGAUACUCCAGGACUUGUUGGCUGGGGCAGUUCAUCUCCUUUAUUCUUAUACCAUUUUUGUAGAUCUUGAACGUAGGGAUGCUCCUCACGCUGUCAGACUUUGUGACGGUGGGGCUCUUGUUGAUAUCAACCUUUGGUUCAUGGAUUGGAAAAACAUUAAGCAAGGUGAGCAGGCACAAACACUUAGAUGCAUGACAGUCUAUGACAAUAGUGGUAGUGAUGAUACCUUGAGAAAAUUUGCAGUCGGAUAACGGGCGCACAAAGAAUCGGCCAAUGGUGAAAUGUGGGAGGAUUGUAGAUUGGAUGUUGUCAUAAAGUAAAUGACAGAAUUGCUGCAGAAGUUAAAAAUUGAGUAGUCCGAAAUUUAGCCGGCUUCAAGAGUUAGUUAAGGUAACAAAAAGAGUCUCACCUGGUAAGCAUAUUGCAGCUUGCAACUGAUUCAAACUAGUAACAUCCUCAACCUCACCACCAAACUGCAAGUUAGAAACUCCUCCACUCCGUGAAAUUUUCAGCACAACUUCUGCGUGAAACAAAGAUUCAGCCACCACAGUAUCUCCUGGAAUUUCCUCGUUGAGGACUUCAUAAUCUCUUACAGAUUCAGCCCAUUGCUCGAUCUGAUUAACAAGUAUUGAAAUGAUGAGAAGACCUUUUCUUUGUAUACCAUUUUUUUAAAACAAGAUUCGUAUCUUGAAGCUACAUGGUAAACUGUAACACCUUGGCAUUGGAGUCAGCGCGUCUUAGUAGAGCCUUGAUGUAACUGGGUUGGAUUUUGACGGCUUGUUUGCAAUCUUCAA